GCUGGUGUAGCUCAACUGGCAGAGCAGCUGAUUUGUAAUCAGCAGGUUGGGGGUUCGAGUCCCUCCGCCAGCUCCA
rnacentral:tRNA from 1 species